GCACACAGACAGACAGACAGACAGAGACUGAGAGAGAGAGAGAGAGGAGACACUGACCCCAGCUCAGAGCGGAGGAAGAGCGGACACACACACACACACA